UACGGAAGGCAGCAGUGGGGAAUAUUGCACAAUGGGCGCAAGCCUGAUGCAGCCAUGCCGCGUGUAUGAAGAAGGCCUUCGGGUUGUAAAGUACUUUCAGUCGUGAGGAAGGUGUUAAGGUUAAUAACCUUAGCAAUUGACGUUAGCGACAGAAGAAGCACCGGCUAACUCCGUGCCAGCAGCCGCGGUAAUACGGAGGGUGCGAGCGUUAAUCGGAAUUACUGGGCGUAAAGGGCACGCAGGCGGUUAAUUAAGUUGGAUGUGAAAUCCCCGGGCUUAACCUGGGAAUGGCAUUCAAGACUGGUUAGCUAGAGUCUUGUAGAGGGGGUAGAAUUCCAUGUGUAGCGGUGAAAUGCGUAGAGAUGUGGAGGAAUACCGGUGGCGAAGGCGGCCCCCUGGGACAAAAGGACUGACGCUCAUGUGCGAAAGCGUGGGGAGCAAACAGGAUUAGAUACC
rnacentral:rRNA from 1 species